rnacentral:rRNA from 1 species
CGUAGGGGGCAAGCGUUGUCCGGAAUCAUUGGGCGUAAAGCGCGUGUAGGCGGCUCGAUAAGUCUGCUGUGAAAGUCCAGGGCUCAACCCUGGGAUGCCGGUGGAUACUGUCGAGCUCGAGUCCGGAAGAGGAGUGUGGAAUUCCUGGUGUAGCGGUGAAAUGCGCAGAUAUCAGGAGGAACACCGAUAGCGAAGGCAGCACUCUGGUACGUGACUGACGCUGAGACGCGAAAGCGUGGGGAGCAAACAGGAUUAGAUACCCUGGUAGUCCACGCCGUAAACGAUGGGCACUAGGUGUGGGAGGUGUCGACUCCUCCCGUGCCGAAGCUAACGCAUUAAGUGCCCCGCCUGGGGAGUACGGUCGCAAGACUA